rnacentral:sRNA from 1 species
AUUUAGAUCGGAACUAUUUUGGUUUCACAAUCAAACUGAGUGGAUAUCGAUGGAGAUUCACUUCAAGAACAGGAAUGUACGUAUAGUGACGGCCCUCAUAUACUUGUUUGUGGUCACAGUGGUAGCAGUGACAUUGGCCUGUUACUACAGCCUGGUCUGGAUCCCCGAGGCCAGCAAGCUCAGGGGGAGGGUCUAUCCGUAGUGUAAUGGCAGCACUGUAAAUUUUGGGAACCUUGGAAGAUCAGUGGUGAUCAAGCAUUCAUUGUGACACUGUGUUUACAUUACAGUGAAAUCAGUCAAAAUCUCGGUGUUUGUACAGAAUGGAAUUCGAUGCCCGAUUGUCGAAGAAGAAUGGCUUGCUUGGCCUAAUAUAAACACACUACACUGGCUGGAUUAUUGAAUGAUCGUUUUAUGGUGAAAGUUUUGUUUAGAUUUCAAUUAUCUUAAGUGGUAUGUUUUUUAUCAUCCCGAUGACUCGACUGUGACAUCUCCAUCACCGUAUUAAAUGACAACUGUUUGAAAAAAUUCAGUUUAGUUUUUGUCAGUCCUUGCAACAUGCCUUGUGUUACAGUUUGGAAAACAGGGGCGGAUCCAUGUUUCCGGAGGGGGAGGGGCUAAAAAUGAAGUCCGUAUAACUUGUAAAAUAGAGACUCCAUAAUAGGAGAAUUCUGGGUGAGAUAUCAGUCACCCCCUACCUUGCCGGAGCCGUUUUUCACAGAUUAUUAUUCAAUUUCAGCGUGAUUAGUGAAUAACAAACUAUUGUACACGAUACAUGUGCAUAUAUGUAUUCUUGCUUCAGACGUGCUCCUGUACAGUUUACAAUACACUAGAUUGUUUCUGUAGUUAAUAUUAAGAUAAAAUCACCUUAGCUAAUGGAUUUCUUCUGUUACUUGGUGAGAAGUUAUAUUUAAACACCAUCCACAUCUCUUGUCGAUUUCAUCGGUUAUCUCGCUUUGUCUGGUUUUGUCAUGUAUAUUAAAGCGUGGUUUUAUUGAGAUCUACCGUCAUAAAAUACUACAUCCGGGUAUCUUGUUAAUAAAUUGCCCUGUUAUCAUUUAGAGUAUAUGAAGUCCUUUUAUUGUCAGAAGCGAGUUGAAAAUAAGCAAUACAAUGAAAGGUUACAUAUAUGUAUGCCAACGAUACGCAGUUUCUCGUGACUACACUUCAGUUAAUCGCAAAAAUAUAUAUUUCACAUCUUUGAAUGAUUGUUUUAAAUAAUGCUACUAAGUUUGUCAGUAUAUGCUAAUAUUGAUUUGAAAUGAAAUGAUUAAAAUAUAUGAAAUUCAAGCAGAUCUUACCGUCCGAUUAAUAAACUGUACACUAGCUUUUAAUAAUAUCCGAUGAAUUUAAUCAUACCUUAUAAUCAUUGCAAUUGAAAUUUAAUUGAAAGUUUUUGGUAAAAUCUUAUACAAUUUGAUGAAAUUAAACAACAAAUGUUCAAUGCGACGCGCGGUAUAUUAAGCGAUCCUCGCGACCCCCCCCCCCCCCCCCCCCCCUCCCCCCUCCCAAGAAUCAAGCUAGGUUUACAGAAUGACGCCACUGUAAUACGAUUGUGAACUGAGCUGAUUUACAAGCCCAACAUUCUUCUAAAUAAAGCGGCUUCUUGAUAUCUUAAUCCUUAUUUUGGCCAGUGCUUACCUCUGGAUCUAACUUUACCUGCAUGUACGCGUUACAGUUAACGCUGCUCUCACCGUCAUAUAUGUAUAUUUAUUUAUUUAUUCACCAAUCAAGGGCCCUCAGGGGGCAUAUACAUUCUUAAAAAAAAAAAUAAUAAUAAUAUCAUGAUUAUAACAAAUAAUGAAUGAAAUACUGCUCACAAUGUCCAGGCAACAAUAUGCAAAAUGUUUCAUUAAUACAAUGAAAUAUAUGUAUAGGAUUUACACAUCAGUGAAUACAACAGCUAUACAGAAACAAAGUGGCCUGAAAACAGAGAGUACCAAGGGACGGUGCCUGCACAGUCGAUUAGACUGGUCUACUUGUACUCAAAGUGUUCAAGCCAGUAUGCUUAUACAUAACAUAACCCCCCCCCCCCAACCAAAGUAAAUACACUGCGUAAUAAAUCUGUAUAUAUAAUUAUAACCAUUAUAUUCCACCUUUAAGAAUCAUUUCACUGAGUUGUACAAGUACUUGUAGAUCUUCAUUUGUCAUAAGCCAGUAAAAUUUUUGGUUAUUGUCCAUAUAUUGAAAAUUUUUACAAGAGUCAUUAGCUAAUUUGUACAGAGUAUCUCUUAAUGCCUUAUUAUGAUCACAUGAGAAUAAAAAAUGUUUUUCGUC